rnacentral:rRNA from 1 species
UACGUAGGGCGCAAGCGUUAUCCGGAAUUAUUGGGCGUAAAGAGCUCGUAGGCGGUUUGUCGCGUCUGCCGUGAAAGUCCGGGGCUCAACUCCGGAUCUGCGGUGGGUACGGGCAGACUAGAGUGAUGUAGGGGAGACUGGAAUUCCUGGUGUAGCGGUGAAAUGCGCAGAUAUCAGGAGGAACACCGAGUGGCGAAGGCAGGUCUCUGGGCAUCGAACUGACGCUGAGGAGCGAAAGCAUGGGGAGCGAACAGG